GCCGGACCGGGCCGGGUUUCCCCCGGCCGCGGCGCGUUCCCGCCCCUCCAGGAUCGGCCGAUCGGGCCCUGCCACUGGCGUGCGAAUCGGCAGAACCGGCA
rnacentral:tRNA from 1 species